CUCUAUCUAUACCUCUAUUUUUAACUUAGUCAUGCAAGUAUUAUCAAUCUUUCACCAACUCCCCUAAUAGUAAAUAAUGUGAUUCAAUAGUACACAUAUAUGAACAAAUAGUUAUAUAAGCAUGUGAAUUAGUAGCAAUUAAUUGCUCAUUUAUCCGAUAAAUUACCCGAUUUAUCAAUAUAACCCCUAGACAUCAAUUAUCAUCGGAAUAAAUGU
rnacentral:lncRNA from 1 species